CUAAGUUCAGCGGGUAUUCCUACCUGAUCCGAGGUCAACCUUGAGAAGGGGGGUGUUUAACGGCAAGAACCCGCCGCACGUCCAAAGCGAGAUGUAUUACUACGCUCGGGGUGACAGCGAGCCCGCCACUGGUUUCAGGGCCUGCGGCAGCCGCAGGUCCCCAACACAAGCCGGGGGCUUGAUGGUUGAAAUGACGCUCG
rnacentral:misc_RNA from 1 species